rnacentral:lncRNA from 1 species
AGAAGCGAUGCCUAUAACAUCCUUCUAGGAAACCAAUCUGGUGCUUGCUCUAUGGACUAUGCAAUCUCAGGCUUGGAGCCAUGUAGGAUUUCUACCUGGGCUGUAGAUGAGGGUAAAAUAUCCCAUGGAGGACUCCUUCAAUAACCACAUUUGGAAAAUCGCUGGCUGCAGGCAAGACAUAUGGAUCCCUGAGGAACAGCAGCACAGGCUGGUGGGACAGUUUGCUUGACUCUUCAGACUCUGUUUCAUCAAAAGAUCCACAACUUUCUGCCUUUGGUAGAGAGGGCAAGUGUCGCACAUUUAGGAAAUCAAGAAACAGUUUGGGAAGUUCUUCAUUUUCUAAAAUGACAGCCUGUAAGUAUGUUUCCAAGCCUUGUCGUCGCUGUUCCAAGACUUUGGGGACCCAGUUCCUAACAUGUUUAGAAGGGAUUUCUGGAGUUUUUAUACAUUUCUUAAGCUUUUUGUGUAAAGCAUGAAAUUCGCUGUAUCUCUUUUCAACAAAAUGUUUUCUUCCAUUCAUUAGCACUUCUAUCU